rnacentral:rRNA from 1 species
AUUGAACGCUGGCGGCAUGCCUUACACAUGCAAGUCGAACGGUAACAGGGUGCUUGCACCGCUGACGAGUGGCGAACGGGUGAGUAAUGCGUCGGAACGUGCCGAGUAGUGGGGGAUAACGCAGCGAAAGUUGCGCUAAUACCGCAUACGUACUGAGGUAGAAAGUGGGGGACCUUCGGGCCUCACGCUAUUCGAGCGGCCGACGUCUGAUUAGCUAGUAGGUGAGGUAAAGGCUCACCUAGGCGACGAUCAGUAGCGGGUCUGAGAGGAUGACCCGCCCAACUGGGACUGAGACACGGCCCAGACUCCUACGGGAGGCAGCAGUGGGGAAUUUUGGACAAGGGGCGAAAGCCUGAUCCAGCCAUGCCGCGUGUCUGAAGAAGGCCUUCGGGUUGUAAAGGACUUUUGUCAGGGAGGAAAUCCCUAGUGCUAAUAACACUGGGGGAUGACAGUACCUGAAGAAUAAGCACCGGCUAACUACGUGCCAGCAGCCGCCGUAA